UUGGCUUGUUCAAGUCAGUGUUCAAACUAUCUCUUGCACUUUCAAGGGCCACUGGGAUUCUCAAAG
rfam:Otolemur garnettii contig046506, whole genome shotgun sequence.